rnacentral:rRNA from 1 species
GAUGAACGCUAGCUACAGGCUUAACACAUGCAAGUCGAGGGGUAACGAGAGGAAAGCUUGCUUUCCUUGUCGACGACCGGCGCACGGGUGAGUAACGCGUAUCCAACCUGCCCCCAACUAGGGAAUAACCUUGCGAAAGUAAGACUAAUACCCUAUAAUUUCCUCAGAUGUCAUCUGACGAGGAAUAAGGAUUUAUCGGUUGUGGAUGGGGAUGCGUCUGAUUAGCUUGUUGGCGGGGUAACGGCCCACCAAGGCAACGAUCGGUAGGGGUUCUGAGAGGGAGGUCCCCCACAUUGGAACUGAGACACGGACCAAACUCCUACGGGAGGCAGCAGUGAGGAAUAUUGGUCAAUGGGCGGAAGCCUGAACCAGCCAAGUAGCGUGCAGGAUGACGGCCCUAUGGGUUGUAAACUGCUUUUAUACAGGAAUAAAGUUAGCCACGUGUGGUUAUUUGUAGGUACUGUAUGAAUAAGGACCGGCUAAUUCCGUGCCAGCCGCCGCCGUAA